ensembl:lncRNA
CCUUCUCGUGCAUAUUGCCCUCCUUUGUUUUCUGUUAGAGACAAAAUGUCAGAAUUUUAGAUGGUGGUUUUUGUGAUCAUGGCAAGAGUUAAGGAAAUUUUGGUGGAUCCAGUGAUGACUGAUUGGAGCUUCUUCAGCCUGAGUUUCCACAUUUCAUCUUUGGUUGUCUUUUGUUUCAUGAGACCACACCAUAAACUCAUACCAGGAACGAGGAAACACAUCUCUGAGAGCCACUGAACUAUCACACAUAUAUGCUGGCUACUAAACAGGGCGAAUAAAUGGCACUGAAAACACAGAGCUAGGUUGUCCAGGAAUCCAAGGACAUGUACACUAACUUCAGACUGAGAAACUGCAAGUGCUUGAGAUCAUGACAUCAAGAGGAGAAGAAAGAGAAAAGGAGGGCAUAGUGAGCAGAAGGCUCCAUAUUACCAUCCUAAAAAUGAAGAUCAUUCUUAGGUCUCAGGCUGCCUGUAGGUCUAACAUUGAAACCAGCAGUGUCUGUACUUAUACUUUCCAUAGAUCUGCAUCACUUCUGGUAGUAUUUCAGUUUCCUUUAUUCACUAAAACAGCCCAGAAAAGCCAAAGCAUUGUUGCGUGGGUGCUGUUCCCAUCCUGGCUCAAUGCACAGAACUCUUCCAGCCAAGAUGGGCUUUGUGCUGCCACUGAUGGUUCUGGUCAGGGGGAGACAGGGCUGAGAGUGAAAGCUGUGCUCCAGGCUAAGAACACCACAGGAGCCCCAAGAGUGCUGUGUUCUUGGACGCCCUUUGAAAUUACCCUCUGAUGGUACUUCUGGGACCCCGUCUCUUUGCUAACCAAUCGGAUAACCUUUUAAGGAACAAUUACCAUAUUUUGUCAUGGGAGCUUUGCUUGAGUAUGCAGCUCCCUGCACCUGUGUUUUCUAUAGCUUUACUAUAACUGGGUAAGCAAAUAGCAUCCAGGGGUGAGACCUUUCCUCGUAGCCUGUGGCUACAUGACCUGGCUGCGUGACCUGAGCCUUACCCUUCAGCUCCUUACUCACGGUUAUGCUGUGACACCAAUAAGAUUUAUGCUUUUGGGGGUCAACACUGCAAAUCACUAUAUUCUCAUGACAUCACAUGCAAGCUGCCCGGUAGAAGGACACAUAGGACUAGUCACUAUUCACAGUAGGAGAGCUUAUCUCUGAGAUGUUAAAAAACAAAACAGUCCUUCACCAUGUUCUGAGCAGUUUAGGUAGAUGGUUUCCACUGCUCCCAAGUCAUGGAUCUGUCUGUAUGUCAGGACACUCAAGGACCUUGGAGUUCACGGGACUGAGGAGGACCUGAAGUUGAUAGAACCUUGCACUGGUGGCCAUGGCAUCUCUUGUGCUUCCUAAUACCCCAGAGAAGAAAGACUACAGCCAGGAGAAAUACAGAAAGAAAUAAGCAAUAUCUAAGACGGGCACUCUCAGCUAAGGGAGGAGUAAAUUCUGAAAAUUUAUUUUCAUUUUUUAUGAUAAUAAGACAUUUCAUAAGAGAGACCUGACAUUGCCCACACAGGACUCCACUGUGCAGUCAUUUAGAAAUGCUACAGGAAAAUCAAGUUGUAUGAGUUGCCAUCAUUCAUAGCAUUCAUCCAUCCUCAGGCAUGCAAGAAGUAUAUUUUAGGCAAAGGAGUUCUCAUACUCCCUUUCUGGCCAUAAUAAACCCUAUUAUUCCAAUUCCACACUUUAGCUUCCACCUCCCUUCCCCCAGUUUCUACCCUUCUCAUGGCUUUGUCAACAUGAAAUUAUAAAGCUGCCUUUAGCAAACUUAGGAAAAAAUAUGGCAUGAAUUUUAUUACUAGAGCAGAAGACAAUACUUUGUUUUCACUGCUGUUUUGCUGUAUUAUCUAUUGCCCCAUACUGAGUCAACGGCAGGUGUAUAAACUGCACAAUUUUGAAGAGUAAAUACAACAGAAUACAUAAGGGCAAAGAUAUUUUGUACUGCAGUGUCAUUAGCAAAGUUUUCAUACUGGACCAAAAUAUAUCUGAGCCAAAGACCGAACAUAUCUGAAAUUCAUUCUCUGAAAAUCAGUUGGUAGAAAAAUGGAUUUUGUACAGCUGGAGAAAUUAGGAGAAAUAAAGUAGAUGGAAGAAUGAAAGAGAUACUGAAAAUUCUCCUCUUGAAUUUAUUAAAAG